rnacentral:rRNA from 1 species
UACGUAGGAAGCAAGCGUUGUCCGGAAUCACUGGGCGUAAAGCGCGUGUAGGCGGUAUGGCAAGUCUGCUGUGAAAGCUCUCGGCUUAACCGGGAGAGGUCGGUGGAAACUGCCACACUGGAGGACGGUAGAGGGGGGUGGAAUUCCCGGUGUAGUGGUGAAAUGCGUAGAGAUCGGGAGGAACACCUGUGGCGAAAGCGGCGCACUGGACCACAACUGACGCUGAGGCGCGAAAGCUAGGGGAGCAAACAGG